UACGUAGGGGGCUAGCGUUGUCCGGAAUCAUUGGGCGUAAAGCGCGUGUAGGCGGUCCGGUAAGUCCGCUGUGAAAGUCGGGGGCUCAACCCUCGAAUGCCGGUGGAUACUGUCGGGCUAGAGUGCGGAAGAGGCGAGUGGAAUUCCUGGUGUAGCGGUGAAAUGCGUAGAGAUGCGGAGGAACACCGAUGGCGAAGGCAGCCCCCUGGGUCGACACUGACGCUCAGGCACGAAAGCGUGGGGAGCAAACAGG
rnacentral:rRNA from 1 species